UUGAGUCAUUAACUUAUUAUUAUUAUUAUUGACACUUUCAACGUUAUGAAUUUUUUAGAAAUUGGUCAAAUUUUAAUAGUAAACGUGAAUUAACCAUUAAUCAAACUACAGAUCAACGAAGUAGACAAUGUGACAUGCUACAUAAGCACACGACGUCAUUUAUGAUGUCAUCUAUUUCAUCUUGUUUUUUCUUCUCCUCUUUCUCUCUUCCGCUUUAGUUGUUCUCUCCGUUGUGUCCAACUCUGACCGCUGUCAUCUUCCCUCUCACUCCUCACCGUCUCAACCCCCACCACCACUCCCUUCCCUCUUCUUGUAUGGCUGACUAAGGCUUAGGGUGGGUUUGGAUGGCCAGUGCGUUUACCUGCGAUUAAUGUAAAAACAGCGAUGGCAGUGAGAUUAGAUACUGUAGCGAUACUGUAGCGUGAGACAAAAAGUAAGCUAAACGCACCGCACCCAAUCACCCAUCCAAACCCACCAUUAGUUUGGAUGGACGGUGUGUUUACCUCCGGUGAGAUUAAAAACAGCGGUGGUGGUGAGAUUAGUUACUGUAGCGGUGAGAUUGAAUACUGUAGCAAUGAGAUUAGAAACAAUGGUGGAGUGUGUGUUUGAAUUCAAACGCAGCUGUAGCGGUGAUGUGAGAAUAAAAAAUGACUAUUAAGGACAUCAGAUUAGAAUUGAUAUAUAAUAGAAGUUUUUUAAAUUAUUUUACUUUUUUAAAAUUAUUAAAAUAUGUGAAUUUAUAAAUUCAUUUAAUAAAAUAUUAAAAUGUAUCUUCCAAUAUUUUAAUGAAUUAUAUAAUUAAUUUAAAUUAUUUAUUAGAUAAAAUGAUAAUUAUUUUUAAUUUUUUAUAGUUAAAUAUUUUUUAUAACAAUGAUAGAUAUUAUUUUCACAAAUAGUAACAUUAUACUUGGAUCAAAUUUUGAAGCAUCUAAACGGAUGAUUUUUAAUAAAAAAUAUAUAGUAACAUAAGACAUAACAAGUUUCAUUAUUACUAGAAAUUAGGUUAUGAUACAAAAUGUUUUUACAAACAUGGAUUCAUUAAACUGGUUGCAAUGGUUUCCCUUAACAUCGUGAUUUCAAGGUCACUUUCUCUAUUAGAAGAACUCGAUUCACCUCUGUCAAACUAGCUUGAAGAGACUGGCAUGUCGGGUAUAUUCUCAAAUUUUUGAAAAUCAUCAUCAUUUGACCAAGCAUGUCUUCGAAUGUAAUUAUGCAAAACCAUUGUUGCAAUAACUAUUAAAACUUGCUUGUUGAAUGAAUAACUUGGAAUAUCCCUUAAUAUUGGUCAUUUUUUUUCCACACUCCAAAUGUUCGUUCAAUCACAGAGCGUAACGAAUAAUGGGCAUGAUUAAAGAUUUCUUUUUUUCCAGAUACUUGAUGAUUACCUCGACGAAAAUCAGGUAAAUAAUAUCGUUCCCCCUAUAUGGACCUAGAAAACCUGCCAUUUGUGGAUAUCCUGAAUCCACAAGAUAAUAUUUUCCUACAAAAAAGUAAAACAUAAUAUUAAGUUUAAAAAUAAAUUAAAAAUUUUAAUAUUUUUUAUGUAAAAAUUAAUUAAAAAAUUAAAGUUCAACCUAGAGGUGCUCAUGGGCCGGGCCGGGCCGGGCCCAAAAAAAUUUCGGCCCGUUUACUAGGCCCGAGCCCGGCCCGACCCGAAAUAUGGGCCUGAGAUGUAGCCCAAGCCCGGCCCGUGGAAAAAAUAUGAAGCCCGAGCCCGGCCCGGCCCGUUUUUUUUUUUUUAGAAGUUAAAACUAAUUUUUAUUAAAGUUAUAUCAAAUAUCAAAUUAUAUUUUUUUGUAUAUAAUGAAAAAAAUUUAAAAUAAUAGCUUUCAUCAUGUUAUCUAUAAACUUUAUGUUAGAGUUGAUGUAGCAUUACACUAAACUAAUACACUAUAAGUUUAAAAAAUUACCAACUAAUUGAAUUUAAAUGUUAUUUAAUUGUCUAUAAUUACACAUUUGUGACAUUUAGGUAACAAACUAACAAUCAAUUCUUAAAAAAAAGAGAAUAAAAAUAAAAAUGAUUAUACAAGUAAUAAGGACUAGCAGCAUAUUAUCAUUAGGCAAUAAGCACUACUAUUGCUUUUAAGUUUGAAGCUGCAAAAAACUGUCAAAUAAUACCAAAAGUGUCAAAAAAUGUCACAAAUAUUCUAUGCAUAUUGCAUAAUGACUUUGGAAAAUUAAGCAACAAACCAUAAUAUUCAUACAUUAAUCCAUCAAAAUAUUUAAUUUCAUAACAAAACAUACAUUGGACCAGUAGUGAACAUGUUCUUAGACGUAUCAAAAUCAUUUCAUUAUCAAAGUCCUAUUUCUCUUAUGUUCAUUAAAACUUGCUUGGUCUGUUUUCAUACAAGAAGAAAUAACAUAUGGAUAUAAAUGUAGAUAGGCUCCUUAUUAGAGAAUUUAAAACAGUGUUCGAGAGCUCAUUAGGUUCGCUAAAUUUAAGGAAUACCUCGACCAAUAGAGAUAUGAUCUGUAAAUUCACAAGAAAUAUCAAUAUUAUACAUAAUAUUAAUUAUAGAUAUUGAUCCCAUGAGCUUACAAAAUGUAUUUUUACUAACCGAAACUCUACGAAAAACAAAACACCGCCACAGUUCAUUUUCAAUUCAUUUUACAUCAACCAACAAAUUCAAUUCAAUUCAUUUUCAGCAACUUUUCAUUCACUUUCUCACCAACCAAAAAACAGAUCAAACCAAAAAGAAAAGCAGAUGAAAUUUUGACUUUGCAAAAACAUGACCAUGUAAACCUAACUUCAUUCGUAUUUUAAUCUUAAGGAUCUUUAAGAUCAAAUUCCCGUUUGUUGACCAAGAAAAUGGAUGACAAGAAGUAUUUACUACUCAUACAUGUAAACAGUUUUUCUGGAAAUAAAAUAAAAUCUGGAAAAUGACAUGCCAAAAUCUGGAAAAUGACAUGCCAAAGUCUGGAAAAUGAAUUACCUUCAAAAUGACUUCAAAUAUAUUAAAAUGACUUCAAAAUCUGGAAAAUGAAAAGCACUAGCAAAUGACUUCAAACUUCAAAGUUCAAAGAGAACAUGGCAACAGUAUAUUAAAAAUCGAAGCAUGUCACCGUCACUAAACUCAGCAAUAAAGAGCAUCCUUCUCUUAAGUCUUAAAUACAUGAUUAAAAUGAAAACUAAAGUGAAGAUUGAAGAAGAAUAGAAUGAAGUUACCUUGAAGGCUUGAACUUGUUGAUUUGAAGGGUUUGGGUCGGACUCGGAAGUUGCAGAAGAAUCGAAGUGAAGAGAACAGCCACCUAGUGUCGUGGAGUGGAGGUGGAGUGCUGGAGGACCGGAGACCGGAGGUGGGAUGGUGGAUCGGUGGGGACUGUAGGUGGGUUUUCAAUUUGGGGAAAAAAAGGGAGGAGGGAAGGGAAGGGGAUUUCUGUCUAAAAUUUUAACGGGGUUGGGGAUAUGGGGAGGGGAAAGGGAAAGGCAAAAUGUAAAAUGU
rnacentral:lncRNA from 1 species